rnacentral:rRNA from 1 species
UACGUAGGGACCAAGCGUUGUUCGGAUUUACUGGGCGUAAAGGGCGCGUAGGCGGCGCGACAAGUCACUUGUGAAAUCUCUGAGCUUAACUCAGAACGGCCAAGUGAAACUGUUGUGCUAGAGUGCAGAAGGGGCAAUCGGAAUUCUUGGUGUAGCGGUGAAAUGCGUAGAUAUCAAGAGGAACACCUGAGGUGAAGACGGGUUGCUGGGCUGACACUGACGCUGAAGCGCGAAAGCCCAGGGGAGCAAACGGG